rnacentral:rRNA from 1 species
CAGCCGCCGCGGUAACACCAGCCCCUCGAGUGGUGGGGACUAUUAUUUGGCCUAAAGCGUCCGUAGCCGGCUGCAGCCGUCACCCGUUAAAUCCAGCGUCUCAAGCGUUGGACUGCGGGUGAUACCCUGCAGCUUGAGGGUGGGACAGGUUAGCGGUAUUCCCGGGGUAGGGGCGAAAUCCUUUGAUCCCGGGAGGACCACCAGUGGCGAAGGCUGCUGACUAGAACACGCCUGACGGUCGGGGACGAAAGCUGGGGUAGCGAACCGGAUUAGAUACCCGGGUAGUCCCAGCUGUAAACGAUGCACGCUAGGUGUUGGGUCGGCCACGCGCCGCCCCAGUGCCGCAGGGAAGCCGUUAAGCUAGCCGCCUGGGGAGUACGGCCGCAAGGCUGAAACUUAAAGGAAUUGGCGGGGGAGCAC